rnacentral:lncRNA from 1 species
GGGGGGUGGAGAGCAAAGGCUCAGGGCAUCCGCCCCUCCUCCACCCACCUCCAUCCAUCCGGGCUCAAGAGCAGCAGAAAUUACGUUUAGUGCAAAUUGCUGAAGCUCCCUACUUCAUCCUCAGUGGUGGGUGGCACGGUGUCUCGCAGGCAGCAGACCGCGGGGAAGGUCGGAGUACGGGUGAAGCCCCUCCGCCUGCCACCGCAGCGCCCUCAAUCCUGGGAGUCAGGGACACUUAAAGGCACGGUUGGGGUCCUGAAGGAAGAGAUGGGAUCCGGACUGGAGAUAGCCAUCUCUCUUCGCAGCCCCUGAGACAGAGUCAUUCGACCACCUUCUCUCCCGACUGACUUUCCUGCUCCGGUAAUUAAGGGAGAAGCGCAGAGACAGAUUCACCCCAUUUCGCCCUUUCUCAUUCCCAGUCAUUGCGAAGCCCCUGGCCUGAAAGGCUCGGGUUCCUCUCCUGCGUGGCAAAGGCCCUCUCACUCCGAGAGCUAUAA